UACGUAGGGUGCAAGCGUUAAUCGGAAUUACUGGGCGUAAAGCGUGCGCAGGCGGUUUUGUAAGUCUGUUGUGAAAGCCCCGGGCUCAACCUGGGAAUUGCGAUGGAGACUGCAAGGCUUGAAUCUGGCAGAGGGGGGUAGAAUUCCACGUGUAGCAGUGAAAUGCGUAGAGAUGUGGCGGAACACCGAUGGCGAAGGCAGCCCCCUGGGCUGAGAUUGACGCUCAGGCACGAAAGCGUGGGGAGCAAACAGG
rnacentral:rRNA from 1 species